rnacentral:rRNA from 1 species
GACGAACGCUGGCGGCGUGCCUAAUACAUGCAAGUCGAGCGAAGUUUUUCUGGUGCUUGCACCGGAAAAACUUAGCGGCGAACGGGUGAGUAACACGUAAAGAACCUGCCUCAUAGACUGGGACAACUAUUGGAAACGAUAGCUAAUGCCGGAUAAUAGCAUUAACUGCAUGGUUGAUGUUUAAAAGUUGGUUUUGCUAACACUAUGAGAUGGCUUUGCGGUGCAUUAGCUAGUUGGUGGGGUAAAGGCCUACCAAGGCGACGAUGCAUAGCCGACCUGAGAGGGUGAUCGGCCACACUGGGACUGAGACACGGCCCAGACUCCUACGGGAGGCAGCAGUAGGGAAUCUUCCGCAAAGGGCGAAAGCCUGACGGAGCAACGCCGCGUGAGUGAAGAAGGAUUUCGGUUCGUAAAGCUCUGUUGUUAGGGAAGAAUGAUUGUGUAGUAACUAUACACAGUAGAGACGGUACCUAACCAGAAAGCCACGGCUAACUACGUG